AAUUAAAGAGCAAACAAAUUCUUUCUGUUAAAAAUUGGCAUGGUUAACAGAAUAACCAGACAUUUACACGUGACAUGCAACAUGUAUAUCAUUUUGACAUAGAGAGAUCAGUUUUUAAUAAUAGAAUUUGAUGAAAUUUUUAACA
rfam:Gossypium arboreum cultivar AKA8401 contig_66_5, whole genome shotgun sequence.